rnacentral:tRNA from 1 species
GCCUGGCUGACUCAGUCAGUGGAGCAUCAGACUCUUAAUCUCAGGGUUGUGAGUUCAAGCCUCAUGAUGGGUU